rnacentral:rRNA from 1 species
AAUGAACGCUGGCGGCGCGCCUAAUACAUGCAAGUCGAGCGAGAAGACGUAGCAAUACGUUUGUAAAGCGGCGAACGGGUGAGGAAUACAUGGGUAACCUACCCUCGAGUGGGGAAUAACUAGCCGAAAGGUUAGCUAAUACCGCGUACGCUCCUUGGACUUCGGUUCAGGGAGGAAAGCGAUACCGUGGGUAUCGCGCUCUUGGUUGGGCUCAUGUCCUAUCAGCUUGUUGGUGAGGAACGGCUCACCAAGGCUUCGACGGGUAGCUGGUCUGAGAGGACGAUCAGCCACACUGGCACUGCGACACGGGCCAGACUCCUACGGGA